UGCCACACUCACCUAACCGAAUCCUGCC
rnacentral:piRNA from 1 species